rnacentral:lncRNA from 1 species
AACAAUUCAAAAAAAAAAAAUUAUCAUAAUUUUUUCUUUAUAACAUAAUAUGAAUCCAAACAUAAUAUAAAAAAAAAUAUUGAGAUUGAGAUACAAAAAACACAUGAAAACUAAGAAUCUUAAAUCAACUAGUGCCUCCACAAUACAGAGCAAAGCCUUGCAACAAAAAGAGAAAGGAUUCAGAAAGAGAAAGAUAAAAAAAAAAAAAUUAACCGUAAAAAAAAAAUUUAAAAGUUUGAGGGUUUAUACAAUUUCAAUCCUUGAGCCUNNNNNNNNNNNNNNNNNNNNNNNNNNNNNNNNNNUAGAUCUAAUAAAAAAAACAUAAACAUCUAAAAAAAAAUCAUAAAAGAUCUUUUUAGUGUAAAUAUCAAAAUCAAAUUACCUAAAAAAAAAAAAAAAUUCUACCUAAACAAAAAAAAGUUCCUUCUUUUAACAGUAACCUAAGAGAAAGAAGAAGCAGUCAAAAAAGGAAAGGGAAUAAUAGAAAAAACAAUAAAAGAAAAUCAAAAAAGGAAAAAAAAAACUUACCUUUCUUUUGCAUGUAAUUUUGUUGAUUUUCUAUGCAUGAUUAUGUAAAGAUCUAGGUUUUCUAUUUUGGGAAUUUUCGGAUUCAAGGUUUGUUUGAUAUUCUAUUGUUUGAUUGGUGUUUUUUUUUGACACAUUGUUUAAUUGGUGUUUAAAACUAAAAAAUAGGGAUUUUUGGUUAAUUUUUGGAUUUUUUGACAUUCCAGUAGGGGUAGAUGGCGGCCGGCACGGCGGCGCCGGCACCAAAGUUUGGCCGGACGGUGACCGCCGCCGGAAAACUCAUCCAAGAGGAUGAACAUGAUGAACAAGGUGGGAGAAAAGAGAGACUAGAGAGAGAGAGCAAGUGAAGAGAGAGGAUGAAA